UACGGAGGGUGCAAGCGUUAUCCGGAUUCACUGGGUUUAAAGGGUGCGUAGGCGGUUAAGUAAGUCCGUGUUGAAAUCUCUGAGCUUAACUCAGAAACUGCCGUGGAUACUAUUUGCCUUGAAUAUUGUGGAGGUGAGCGGAAUAUGUCAUGUAGCGGUGAAAUGCUUAGAUAUGACAUAGAACACCAAUUGCGAAGGCAGCUCACUACUCAAUCAUUGACGCUGAGGCACGAAAGCGUGGGGAUCAAACAGG
rnacentral:rRNA from 1 species